CCCAUUGACGAUGAUGAGAUGGUAUCUUUUAUCCUGAAUGGUCUUGAUCAUGAUUAUAAUCCCAUAGUCUCUUCUUUCCUUGGGCGUUCAGAUCCCAUCUCUGUUAAUGAUCUGUAUGCUCAAGUUAUGUCAUAUGAAC